UCCUGCCUCACACUCCCAGAGUGCUAGGAUUACAGACGUGAGCCACUGUGCCUGGUCGAGAAAUUUUUCUUUCAGCUUCCAACACCCAAGCCAUGGCCACCUUGCCUUCACAUGCAUCAUGGAGAAUUCAGCACUGGUGACCCCAACAGUAGAGCCCCCCAAUUUCCAGGAUACUCAAAGUCCUCAGCCUAGAGCGAGGGAGGUGACAUUCCCAGAGGCACUGCACCCUCCAGAAACGGGGUGUCAACAUGGCUGGAGUGUGGGAUAUUUGUAACAGCACCCAAAAUUCUGACUACAGAGGUAGACUCCCAGCACAGCAGACCUUUUAAGGUGACCAGGAGCCACCCGUCCAUGACCCAAGACGGGAAAGGCAGCAGCCACCGGGAGUACAGGGCUGUUCUCGGGUAAUGCCUGGUCUGGCUCCUAGAAACCAUUGUCCUAUCUGGAUGGUGGGAACCGUGUCCAGGUUAAAGUGACUUCUGUGUCGUUCUCCUCCUCCUCCCAUCCCACACCGACUAGAGACAGGGCUCUUCCUUUCCACUGAAGAUUCCUUGCCAGUCUGGCCACUGUGCUGUGGGCGGUGGGGCAUGUGCAGCCCACGGGUGAGAGGGAGGAUGAGGAGAGAGGAGGCCAGAAUACACUGAUCAUUUCUCUUCCUCCUGAGUUCUCUGGGCUAGUGUGCCGAGCUGCAGAGAGAGAGAGACGACCUUAAAGCGCAACUAGUGGACAUGCAGUGCCUCGCUGACAAGAUCCAGGCCUUUGAAGUCAGUGAGUUGAACCCAGCCUCUUCCUACAAGAUAAGCACUGGUACCUUUGGAGCCCAGGAGCUAUGCCCAAGCUGGUUCCCUCCUUUUCUAGCUAUGGCUACUUCUCGCCCCCUGCUCUUGCCCCCUCCUUACCCCAGUUUACAGAAUUAUCCAAAUAAUAUAGCUCUUAUAUUCUCAAAUUCUGUGUUCUGCCCUCUUCCAGGAGGGGGAGGAGGCGUUGCACUGGAGGGGAGGGGAGGGGCAUGGGCAGUGGCUACAUUUUGGAGCAUUUAAAGCACCGUACCCUGGCACUCUGUGCUCGGCCCUCUCCCUGUGGGGCCUCUGGGCCGGGAUCUGGGUAUCAUACCUGCUCUCAGGCUCACCAUAGCACCCUGGGUCUAGCCUCUGUAGGGCCCCUGACCAGCCUCAUCAGCAGGCCCUGUUCAUGGUCCCUCCCAGUGUCCUCCGAUUUGGGUGUCUCAAGGUUCCCACUGUGUGCCGCUCCUCCCCCUCCCUUUCAGCAGGAACUAAUUGACCUCCUGCCAGAGAUCCCACCCCUCUUUGCCUUCCUCGAUGGUUCGCUGUCCUGGUUCUCCCCCCUCGCCCUUCUUUUCUGUCACGA